rnacentral:rRNA from 1 species
AGAGUUGAUCAUGGCUCAGGAUGAACGCUAGCUACAGGCUUAACACAUGCAAGUCGAGGGGCAGCAUGAUCAAAGCUUGCUUGAUUGAUGGCGAUCGGCGCACGGGUGAGUAACGCGUAUCCAACCUUCCCUAUAGUAGUGGAUAGCCCGGCGAAAGUCGGAUUAAUACACUAUGUUGUAUUUAGAGGACAUCUGAAGAAUACCAAAGGUUUACCGCUAUAGGAUGGGGAUGCGUCUGAUUAGAUAGUAGGCGGGGUAACGGCCCACCUAGUCGACGAUCAGUAGGGGUUCUGAGAGGAAGGUCCCCCACAUUGGAACUGAGACACGGUCCAAACUCCUACGGGAGGCAGCAGUGAGGAAUAUUGGUCAAUGGACGGGAGUCUGAACCAGCCAAGUAGCCGUGCAGGAUGACGGCCCUAUGGGUUGUAAACUGCUUUUAUACGGGGAUAAAGUGAGCCACGUGUGGCUUUUUGUAGGUACCGUAUGAAUAAGGACCGACUAAUUCCGUGCCAGCCGCCGC